AGGUUACUGCUAUCGAGGUUCGACUAAGCCAUGCGAGUCGAAUGUAGCAAUACAUGGCGAACUGCUCAGUAACACGUGGACAACCUGCCCUUAGGACGGGGAUAAACCCGGGAAACUGGGUAUAAUACCCGAUAGGUCUCGAUUGCUGGAAUGCAUCGAGAUUUAAAGCUCCGGCGCCUAAGGAUGGGUCUGCGGCCUAUCAGGUAGUAGUGGGUGUAGCGUACCUACUAGCCUACGACGGGUACGGGUUGUGAGAGCAAGAGCCCGGAGAUGGAUUCUGAGACACGAAUCCAGGCCCUACGGGGUGCAGCAGGCGCGAAAACUUUACAAUGCUGGCAACAGCGAUAAGGGAACCUCGAGUGCCAGGUUACAAAUCUGGCUGUCGAGAUGCCUAAAAAGCAUUUCAUAGCAAGGGCCGGGCAAGACCGGUGCCAGCCGCCGCGGUAACACCGGCGGCUCGAGUGGUAACCGUUAUUAUUGGGUCUAAAGGGUCUGUAGCCGGCCGGAUAAGUCUCUUGAGAAAUCUGGCAGCUUAACUGUCAGGCUUUCAGGAGAUACUGUCUGGCUCGAGGCCGGGAGAGGUGAGAGGUACUUCAGGGGUAGGGGUGAAAUCUUGUAAUCCUUGAAGGACCACCAGUGGCGAAGGCGUCUCACCAGAACGGACCUGACGGCAAGGGACGAAAGCUAGGGGCACGAACCGGAUUAGAUACCCGGGUAGUCCUAGCCGUAAACGAUACUCGCUAGGUGUCGGCCACGGUGCGACCGUUGUCGGUGCCGUAGGGAAGCCGUGAAGCGAGCCACCUGGGAAGUACGGCCGCAAGGCUGAAACUUAAAGGAAUUGGCGGGGGAGCACCACAACGGGUGGAGCUUGCGGUUU
rnacentral:rRNA from 1 species